AUUGAACGCUGGCGGCAGGCUUAACACAUGCAAGUCGAGCGGAGAUGAGGUGCUUGCACCUUAUCUUAGCGGCGGACGGGUGGGUAAUGCUUAGGAAUCUGCCUAUUAGUGGGGGACAACAUUCCGAAAGGAAUGCUAAUACCGCAUACGUCCUACGGGAGAAAGCAGGGGAUCUUCGGACCUUGCGCUAAUAGAUGAGCCUAAGUCGGAUUAGCUAGUUGGGGGGGUAAAGGCCUACCAAGGCGACGAUCUGUAGCGGGUCUGAGAGGAUGUUCCGGCACACGGGGCCUGAGACACAGCCCAGACUACUACGGGAGGCAGCAGUGGGAAAUGUUGGACAAUGGGGGGAACCCUGAUCCAGCCAUGCCGCGUGUGUGAAGAAGGCCUUAUGGUUGUAAAGCACUAUAAGCGAGGAGGAGGCUCUUUUGGUUAAUACCCAAGAUGAGUGGACGUUACUCGCAGAAUAAGCACCGGCUAACUCUGUGCCAGCCGCCGCAGUAA
rnacentral:rRNA from 1 species